rnacentral:lncRNA from 1 species
GCACAAGAAGAAGACCUAAAAGAAGUCUCAGUGUCAUAUGGGUUAGAUGAAGGAAAAAAUGAACAUAUUGAAGUCUUAAAUCAAGGUGAAGAUGAUCCACAUAGAGUUACAAUGUCAUAUAGGUCAGAACAAGAAGAUGAUCCCAAUAAAGCUACAAUGACAUAUAGGUCAGAACAAGAAGAAGAUCCACAUAAAGUUACACUGUCAUAUGGGUCAGAACAAGAAGAUGAUCCCAAUAAAGCUACAAUGACAUAUAGGUCAGAACAAGAUGAAGAAGAUCCACAUAAAGUUACAAUGUCAUAUGGGCUGGAACAAGAAGAUGAUCCCAAUAAAGCUACAAUGACAUAUAGGUCAGAACAACAAGAAGAAGAUCCACAUAAAGUUACAAUGUCA